GACGAACGCUGGCGGCGUGCUUAACACAUGCAAGUCGAACGAUGAAACCUAGCUUGCUAGGUCGAUUAGUGGCGAACGGGUGAGUAACACGUGACUAACCUGCCCCUUUCUCUGGGAUAACGCUCCGAAAGGAGUGCUAAUACCGGAUACUCACACCGAGGCACAUGCCUUGGUGUGGAAAGUUUUUCGGAAAGGGAUGGAGUCGCGGCCUAUCAGCUUGUUGGUGAGGUAACGGCUCACCAAGGCGACGACGGGUAGCCGGCCUGAGAGGGCGCGCGGCCACACGGGGACUGAGACACGGCCCAGACUCCUACGGGAGGCAGCAGUGGGGAACAUUGCACAAUGGGCGCAAGCCUGAUGCAGCGACGCCGCGUGAGGGAUGAAGGUCUUCGGAUUGUAAACCUCUUUCAGUAGGGACGAAGCGAAAGUGACGGUACCUAAAGAAGAAGCACCGGCUAACUACGUGCCAGCAGCCACCGUAA
rnacentral:rRNA from 1 species